rnacentral:rRNA from 1 species
UGCCUCAGUAACGGCGAGUGAAGCGGCAACAGCUCAAAUUUGAAAUCUGGCCUCUCGGGGUCCGAGUUGUAAUUUGUAGAGGAUGUUUCGGGUACCGCUCCGGUUUAAAUUUCUUGGAACAGAAUGUCAAAGAGGGUGAGAAUCCCGUCUUGGACCGGUGGUAGGGCCUAUGUGAAACUCCUUCGACGAGUCGAGUUGUUUGGGAAUGCAGCUCAAAAUGGGUGGUAAAUUUCAUCUAAAGCUAAAUAUUGGCCAGAGACCGAUAGCGCACAAGUAGAGUGAUCGAAAGAUGAAAAGCACUUUGAAAAGAGAGUUAAACAGUAUGUGAAAUUGUUGAAAGGGAAGCGCUGGCAACCAGACUUGCGCGCGGCGGUUCCCCCUUCCUUUUGGUUGGGUUACUCCGCCGUGUCCAGGCCAAUAUCGGUUUUGGGGGUCGGUCAAAGACGUUGGGAAUGUAUCUACCCUUCGGGCGUAGACUUAUAGCCCAGCGUGUCAUGCGACCUCCCGGGACCGAGGAACGCGCUUCGGCUCGGAUAUUGGCGUAAUGGUUGUCAGCGACCCGUCUUGAAACACGGACCAAGGAGUCUAACAUCUAUGCGAGUGUUUGGGUGUCAAACCCGGAACGCGUAAUGAAAGUGAACGGAGGUAGGAAGCCUUUAGGCUGCACUAUCGACCGAUCCUGAUGUCUUCGGAUGGAUUUGAGUAAGAGCAUAAAUGUUGGGACCCGAAAGAUGGUGAACUAUGCCUGAAUAGGGUGAAGCCAGAGGAAACUCUGGUGGAGGCUCGCAGCGGUUCUGACGUGCAAAUCGAUCGUCAAAUUUGGGUAUAGGGGCGAAAGACUAAUCGAACCAUUAACGAACUAUAGCUACUAUGGUGGUUAAGUGUGGCCCUGAAAGGGGCGUGCAAGUGCCAAAUUCUGGCGCGACACUGUCAAAUUGCGGGGACGUCCUAAAGCUCUAGGGACCGCCUGACCGACGAAAGUUGGUCCCAGGCACCAGGUUAACGACCUCGGGUAUGGUAAAACUCCUAGAGAUGCUACAAUGGAUAAUCUGCAGCCAAGUCCUACGGGCGUGGUCACACGCCUAUGGACAC